UUUAUGAACUGAAUAAAGUAGAUUGUGAUGACUGAUGAGUUAUUCCCUAUGAACCAGUCUACAUAAAACAAAUGUCCAUAAAGAUGAUUUGGUCACUAGAGGAAUACUUCAAAAGUUGAUGUUUAUGAACUGGU